rnacentral:tRNA from 1 species
GCCCUGGUAGCUCAGCGGAUAGAGCAACCGCCUCCUAAGCGGUAGGUCGCCCGUUCGAUCCGGGCCUGGGGCG